rnacentral:rRNA from 1 species
GACGAACGCUGGCGGCGUGCUUAACACAUGCAAGUCGAACGAAGAGCGAUGGAAGCUUGCUUCUAUCAAUCUUAGUGGCGAACGGGUGAGUAACGCGUAAUCAACCUGCCCUUCAGAGGGGGAUAACAGUUGGAAACGACUGCUAAUACCGCAUACGAUCUAAUCUCGGCAUCGAGGAUAGAUGAAAGGUGGCCUCUACAUGUAAGCUAUCACUGAAGGAGGGGAUUGCGUCUGAUUAGCUAGUUGGAGGGGGAACGGCCCACCAAGGCGAUGAUCAGUAGCCGGUCUGAGAGGAUGAACGGCCACAUUGGGACUGAGACACGGCCCAGACUCCUACGGGAGGCAGCAGUGGGGAAUCUUCCGCAAUGGACGAGAGUCUGACGGAGCAACGCCGCGUGAGUGAUGACGGCCUUCGGGUUGUAAAGCUCUGUUAAUCGGGACGAAAGGCCUUCUUGCGAAUAGUGAGAAGGAUUGACGGUACCGGAAUAGAAAGCCACGGCUAACUACGUG